rnacentral:rRNA from 1 species
AGCGUAGACGGAAUGGCAAGUCUGAUGUGAAAGACCGGGGCUCAACCCCGGGACUGCAUUGGAAACUGUCAAUCUAGAGUACCGGAGGGGUAAGUGGAAUUCCUAGUGUAGCGGUGAAAUGCGUAGAUAUUAGGAGGAACACCAGUGGCGAAGGCGGCUUACUGGACGGUAACUGACGUUGAGGCUCGAAAGCGUGGGGAGCAAACAAG